CUCAAUGGACAUGAAUCUGGACAAACUGCAGGAGGUGGUGAAGGACAAGGAAGCCUGGCAUGCUGCCGUCCAUGGGGUCACAAAGAGUUGGACAGUACUUAGAUACUGAACAACAACAACGGUAAGUGAAUGUUUAGUAGAAGAAAUGACCCAGUUGGUGUCCAAGUACCUCACAGCACUGCAGGAGCCCACACCCUCUACUGGGGAAAGAAGAGGCCCUCAAGAUUGCAGGAGGCGCUCGGGGGUGUGUGUAGUCCCCUCAUCUGUUCGUUUUCCCUGGCCCUGGCACCUCUAUUUCUGAACUCUUUCCACUGAAGGUAACUCACUAAACUUGCCUUUCUUUCUCCCCCUCACCCCUUCCUUCUCAUCACACUGUUUCUCUAAAAAGACUCUCCUCUCUCUCUUUCUCUCUAGGUAAGAACGUGGGCCUGUGAGAACAGUGGAACUCGAGCCACAGAACAAACACAUCCAGACUUUUGCCCCAAGGGACCACCAAACUCCAGCAGGGCUUCUGGCAACAUGAGGCCAUAUCUGCAGGAUGACCCCUCAGAUGCCUGCCUGAAAAAGCUCAAUACUGCCAGGACCUGAAGCCAUCCCUUUGAAUGUCAUCCCCAGGAAGGAUGGGGCCACUGUCUCCAAGUCUCUGUUGGGUAUAGAAACCCAGCUUCCAAUCUUACCAGCUGGCCCACCCCUGUCCAUGUCACCGUGUCGGUCAGUGAUGUGCUCAUGACUGUAGGUGUGACAGCAGGUGUCAUCGUAGAAGUGGGCCUGGCCCCUGCCUCACUGCGAUGCUGCAGAAGCAAGACGGAAAAGCAGUUCAGGUUUUGAAGUCAGAGUCUCCUAGGGUCAGAUUCCCGCUCUGUCUCUUGGAGAAGUUCCUUUACCACAGCCUUCGUGCCCUCGAGUGUGAACUUGGGAGUAAGUAGUCCUACUUCACAGCUUCCCUGGUGGCUUGGCGGUAAAGAAUCUGCUGCAAUGCAGGAGAUCAAGAGACGUGGGUGCGAUCCCUUGGUCGGGAAGACCCAUUGGAGGAGGAAAUGUAUACCCAUUCCAGUAUUCUUGCCUGGAGAAUCCCAUGUACAGAGGAGUCUGGUGGGCUACAAUCCCUCAGGUUGCAAAGAGUUGUCACGACUGAGCAACUGAGCACUCACGCACACAUUCCUACAUCACAGGGUUGUUUCAAAAGCUAAAUAAAAGCCUUUCUCACACUGCAGGCUGUGGUGAGCACUCAGGAAGUGUGGAUAUUUUUGAUCCAGAAGGGAGAAGGACCACGUGGAGGAGGAUAAAGGGAUGGAGGGAAAGCAGAGGGGCUGCUGUGAUGGAAGAUGAGGGGGGACAAGGACGCCUUCUGACAGCCCACCUGGGCCCACUGAUGUGAACCAUGCUCCUGGUCCCACUGAUAUGGACAGCGUGACUGAGGAGGUGGGGCUGGGCUCCCUGAGCCCACCAUUCCUGACUUCUCAGGACUGCCCGUAGGAAUGCUCCCCACCCAACCUGGACCCUCAGGUCUCAGCUUGUACCUGCGCUCCUCUGAGCCAAAGCUGCAGACCAACAAGGAAAUCACCACAACAGAGGGUUUUUUUUUUUUUUUUUUUUAAAUAAAAGCUUAUCUGCAGUUUAGACUGACCAAGGCCAUCUUUCUGUCAAGAUGAUGUCUGUCUGUUUUGUUGCCUGGACAUCCAGCCUUUAUCGUUUUAAGAGUUUGGUUUUUCCUCUGAUGCUGCCCAGGCAUACAAAUCUUUAGAAACGUGAGUUAGAGUUCACAUGAGAACUCCUCUGUGUUUAAGCGGACCCAGGCUAUGUGCUGGGUAGACAAGCAGGCCCUGAAGAAGAGCCGUCAGAGUUUAAGAUGUAGAUUCAGAAGGAGCUGGUCUGGUCAAGGUCAUGGUCAACACUCACCAAGUUUCAGGGCAGAGAGGAGAAGGGAAGAAUUAGUGAUGGACAGGGAGGUCUGUUGAGGUCCAUGGGGUCGCAAAGAGUCGGACACGACUGAGCGACUGAAUGAACUGAACUGAACAUUCUGCUUUAUUGAAUGAUUUUUAAAAUACUGACUGUGACCCACUAAAUAAAAGUUAUCACUUGCUAAAGGGUCACAAACCAGAGUUGCUGGAUUGUAGGGUAUGACCUUUGGCUUUGUUAGAAAAAGAAUGGAAAAUUCUGCUUUUCACUGGCAGAAUACUAGAGGUGUGACUGCUCAGUAUUUGAAUAUUUGCCAGCAUGGUAGCUGCAGCAUCCAGGGUCUUUCUAUAAUUGCUUAUGAAGUGCUUCAUUUUGUCAUGUGUUUGUGAGACAUUUGUAUUCACUCCUCUGUGAAAAGCCCAUUAACGUAUUUGUCCACUUUUCUGUUGGGUUGUCUUUCUCUUACUGAUUUCUUUAUGCAUACUGAAUACUAAUCCUUUGUCAGUUUUUGUGUUACAAAUAUCUUCUCCCAGAUGUUGCUUGCCUUUUCAUUUACUUAAUUAUUCUUAUUAGAUGGAAUCAAAUUUACCUUUUUGUGCUUUAUUAUUUUUUUCUGUAUUAUUUUGUGCUACAGAGUUACAGAAAGGUCAUAAAGAUGUUCUCUUGCAUUUUCUUCUAAAAAUUUUAUACGUUUGCCUGUGAUGGUUAAUUUUGAGUCAACAUGACUGGGCCAAGGGAAGCUCAGACAGCUGAUAAAACAUUAUUUCUGGGUGUAUCUGUACGGGUGUUUCCAGGUGAGAUGAAGUGUUUGAAUUAGUAGACUAAGCAAAGAUCUGCUCUCACCUGUGGGCAAUGAGAAAUGUGAAACAAAAUGGAAUCACGAAGGUCAAGUUUUUUUUUUAAUGGAACCAGAAAGCCAUUAAGUAGGUGGACCUUUCCCACAUGCUACUUGGAUGGAACCUCAACUUUUGAACUGCAUGAAACCACAAAUCCCAAGGACUCUGCAAAAAUUCCUAAAACUUGUGUGUGUGUGCUCAGUUCUCCAGGCAAUAAUAUUGGGGUGGGUUGCCAUUUCCUUCUCCAGAGGAUCUUCCUUACCCAGGGACUGAACCCAUGUCUCUUGAGUCUCCUGUACUGGCAAGCCUAUUCUUUACCACUGUGCCACCUGGGUAAUCCCCAAAACUUGUCAUAGCAACAGGUUUUCACCUUGCUCUAGUCAUAGCUUUAGUAAUCCUGUUCAGCCAGGACUAGCUUCUGCAUCCGGCGCCAAUUAAAAUUCUUUGCCGUACAAGCCUCCCUUCUUUGUCUUUAAAAGCCCAUGACUGUUACUCCCUAGUAGGACACAGUUUAGGUUGCUACUCACAUCUGUGUGCUCUGCAUUGUAGUUUUUUGAUCCCAAAUAACAGCUUUCUACCUCAUUAUCACCUUCUAGGCUUCCAUGGUGGCUCAGAUGGUAAAGAAUAUGCCUGCAAUGCAGGAGACCUGUGUUCGAUCCCUGAGCUGGGAAGAUCCCCUGGAGAAGGAAAUGGCAACCCACUCCAGUACUUUUCCCUGGAAAUUCUAUGGACAGAGGAGUCUGGCAGGCUACAGUCCAUGGGGUCACAAAGAGUCAGACACGACUGAACGACUAUCAGUCACUCACUCAGGUUUAUUUAGGUUGACAAUGAGCAUCAUCCCAUCUACUGAUGGCCCAAAUAGAAUAAAGAAGGUGAAGGAAGAACUCUCUCUCUUCUUGAGCUGGGAGGUCCAUCUUUUCCAGCUUUCUGAUAUCAGUUUUCCUGGUUCUCUGACCUUUAGACUCUAGAGCUUACCCUAGUACCCCACGCUGCAAGUUCUCAGGCCAGGAACUGGGACUUAGACCAUCAGCUCCCUUGGUUCUCAGGUCUUUGGGCUUGGAUUCAGUUAUAACACUAGCUUUCUGUUCUCUGCUUGCAGAUGGCGGAUCAUGGGACUUCUCAGUCUCUUUAGCCAUGUGAACCAAUUCCUAUAAUGAGCCUCUUCUUGCAUCCAUCUAUCCCCACCCCUUGUUUUGAUCACAAUGAUAAUUUAUAAUAAAUCUUGAUAUUUGAUAGUGCAAGUCUCCCUGUCUGGUAUUUCUUCUUGGCAAUGAAAAAGCUAAUUUUGCCUCUUUACUUUUUGGAGGUCCACCUGAGAAUCUGGCAGCAAAUUUCAGCAAAGACCCUGUUGGAAUUUGGUUUGGAAUUGCAUUGAAUCUAGAGAUGAAACUUGGAAAGAAACUGACAUUUAUGAUAUUGAGGUUUCUUAUCCACGAAUACUGUAUCUCUCUCCAAUCAUAGAUUUCCUUGGAUGUCCUUAAAUACUUUUUCCACAGAGAUGUCAUCCAUAUAUUGCUUGAAUGUUUGGUAAGACUCAUCUGUAAAACAAUCCAGGCCUGCUUUUUUUUGUGGGACAAUUUUUAACUACUGAUUUAAUUCCUUUAAUGGUAAUAGAGCUGCUUAGAUUUUUUUGAUUCAUCCUGAAUUCAAUUUUGAUAACAUGUUUUCCUUAGAAUGGUGGCCCAAAUGGUAAAGCAUCUGCCUACAACGCGGGAGACCCAGUUUCAAUCCCUGGGUGGGGAAGAUCUGGAGAAGGAAAUGGCAACCCACUCCAGUAUUCUUGCCUCGGAAAUCCCUUGGAUGGGGAAACCUGGUAGGCUACAGUCCAUGGGGUCGCAAAGAGUCGGACACGACUGAGUGACUUCACUUUCCUUUCCUUUUCCUUAGAAUGUAUUAAUUACAUCCAAAUUUACUAAUUUAUUGUCUUCAAGUUAUUUAUUGAUUUCUUCUUGUUUGAUCUCCUUAGCAUCUGUAGUUAUAUCUCCAAUUUCCCCUAAAAAAUUAACUUGUGCAUUCUCUUUUGUUGCUGAUUUUGAUUCAUUUCUUUUGGUUCAUAUCUUUUUACUUUCUUCCUAUUUUCCACUUCUGCCUCUUUAUAUCUUCUUUUUUUUUCAGUCUUUUAAAGGUAUAAUUAACAUACAACAUUGUCUUAGUUUAUUUUAGUUUCAGGAGCGCAACAUAAUGGUUUGAUAUUUACAUAUAUUGCAAAUGAUCACUACAAUAAAUCUGGUUAACAUCUGUCAUCAUACAUAGUUACAAACUUUUUUUUCUUGUGAUGAGCACUUUUAAGAUCUACUCUCCUAGAAACUUUCAAAUAUGAAAUGCAGUAUUUUAGCUAUAGUCACCACUGUGGUGUUGGAGAAGAGUCUUGAGAAUCCCUUGGACUGCAAGGAGAUCCAACCAGUUCACUCUAAAGGAGAUCAGCCCUGGGUGUUCUUUGGAA